GUGGCGGACGGGUGAGUAACGCGUGAGCAACCUGCCUUUCAGAGGGGGAUAACGUUUGGAAACGAACGCUAAUACCGCAUGAUGUAUUCGAAUCACAUGGUUUGAAUACCAAAGGAGCAAUUCACUGAAAGAUGGGCUCGCGUCCGAUUAGCUAGUUGGUGAGAUAACAGCUCACCAAGGCGACGAUCGGUAGCCGGACUGAGAGGUCGAACGGCCACAUUGGGACUGAGACACGGCCCAGACUCCUACGGGAGGCAGCAGUGGGGGAUAUUGCACAAUGGAGGAAACUCUGAUGCAGCAACGCCGCGUGAGGGAAGACGGUUUUCGGAUUGUAAACCUCUGUCAUUGGUGACGAUAAUGACGGUAGCCAAUGAGGAAGCUCCGGCUAACUACGUGCCAGCAGCCGCGGUAAUACGUAGGGAGCAAGCGUUGUCCGGAAUUACUGGGUGUAAAGGGUGCGUAGGCGGGGAACCAAGUCAGGCGUGAAAACUAUCG
rnacentral:rRNA from 1 species